UGUGACGGCCAUCUGGCUGUGGCAUCUGUGGUCCUGUUGAUGCCCAAGGUUGAUUAGAUGAUGGCUGCCUCGGCCAGGUGUGACCCCUCUCUCACUGCUCUGUGAGCCUUUCUCCUGAAGCUGCUCCCUCUAGGAAAACAUUCCUGGAUAGGAGGACCCACUGUCGGUCAAGGGUAUGUAAAUGGAGCCCAAACCUCCAAACAAGCUCUAAGAAAGAUUGCAGUCUGCAGUGUUACUUAACACAUCUGAGUUAUUUCCUCAAACUAAGGUUGGUUUUUUUU
rfam:Dipodomys ordii contig_46523, whole genome shotgun sequence.